AUGGUUGUCGUCAGCUCGUGUCGUGAGAUGUUGGUUAAGUCCCGCAACGAGCGCAACCCCUACGUUAGUUGCUAACGCGUGAAGGCGAGCACUCUAGACGAACUGCCGUUGACAAAACGGAGGAAGGUGGGGAUGACGUCAAAUCAUCAUGCCCCUUAUGUUCUGGGCUACACACGUGCUACAAUGGCCGGUACAGACGGACGCAAAGCCGCGAGGCGGAGCAAAUCCGAAAAAGCCGGUCUCAGUUCGGAUUGCAGGCUGCAAUUCGCCUGCAUGAAGUCGGAAUCGCUAGUAAUCGCAGGUCAGCAUACUGCGGUGAAUACGUUCCCGGGCCUU
rnacentral:rRNA from 1 species